GGUUGCCCCCACAACAGCAUUUUGUAAAGAGUGACAGACUGAGAUCUAUCCCAUUUGCAGCUCUAAAAAAUUCAUCAUGAAUUUAAAAGUUUGUUUUUCUUGCAGCCUAAUUGCAAAGUGGGGAGAGGAGGAAGAGCAGAGCAGAGGUCAGCAUUCCUGCUGGUCCUCGGAGACUCGGAAAAGCAGAGGAACAGAACGCAGGCAACGUGAAGCUGCAGAGGGCAGAGGCAGCCAGAGACCAAGCUGUGUUCAGACAUGACCUCCAGAGGAUGUCCGCAGCAUCGGGUCUGGACUUUCUGCGAAAGUUCCCUUUCUCACAUGGACACUGCAGCAGGAGAUUCACAGAAAAGACGCGUUCACAACACAGAGAUCUCCGGAAUGUUCAGACUGUCGCUGUGACCGUCCUCCUCCCUCUGUCCCCUCCAGUCUCUCAAGCCAAGUCACCUGCUCUGUCUAUUAAGAUAACGAGGCCACGAUGUCACUUCCUGUUGUCUCCCAGGCCGAUGUCUUGUUCAUCCUUCACUUGUGGUCCGUCGCCCUGAUGAAGGACAGGAAGAC